rnacentral:tRNA from 4 species
GUUCUUGUAGUUGAGGCAGCAACGAUGGUUUUUCAGGCCAUAGGCCUUGGUUAAAUCCAAGUAAGAACAC